rnacentral:tRNA from 1 species
AUUUUUUUAGUAUAAUCUAGUACGUUUGACUUCCAAUCAAAAAGCCUAAAAUUUAGAAAAAAUA